GUGCACCAGUCGCGAAUAGUCUACAAUGGACGAAAGUCUGAUAGUGCGACGCCGUGUGUGCGAUUAAUUCCUUCGGGAUGUAAAGCACUUUUCUAUGAGAUAAAAGCUCUUUAGGUUAAUAGCUUAUUGAGACGGAUAUUAUUAUAGGAAUAAGCUCCGGCUAACUCCGUGCCAGCAGCCGCGGUAAUACGGAAGGAGCGAGCGUUGUCCGGAUUUACUAGGCGUAAAGGGCUAGUAGGCGACUAAUUAAGUUAUAUGUUAAAUCCCACGGCUCAACUGUGGUCCUGCAUGUAAUACUGGUUAGAUAGAGUACUGUAGAGGAAGGCAGAAUUCCUGGAGUAGCGGUGGAAUGCGCAGAUAUCAGGAAGAAUACCAAAAGCGAAGGCAGCCUUCUGGGCAGUUACUGACGCUGAAUAGCGAAGGUGUGGGUAGCGAACAGGAUUAGAUACCCGGGUAGU
rnacentral:rRNA from 1 species